UAGACAAAUACUGCAAUGCCA
rnacentral:siRNA from 1 species